rnacentral:rRNA from 1 species
GACGAACGCUGGCGGCGUGCUUAGCACAUGCAAGUCGAACGGAAAGGCCCUGCUUUUGUGGGGUGCUCGAGUGGCGAACGGGUGAGUAACACGUGAGUAACCUGCCCUUGACUUUGGGAUAACUUCAGGAAACUGGGGCUAAUACCGGAUAGGAGCUCCUGCUGCAUGGUGGGGGUUGGAAAGUUUCGGCGAUUGGGGAUGGACUCGCGGCUUAUCAGCUUGUUGGUGGGGUAGUGGCUUACCAAGGCUUUGACGGGUAGCCGGCCUGAGAGGGUGACCGGCCACAUUGGGACUGAGAUACGGCCCAGACUCCUACGGGAGGCAGCAGUGGGGAAUAUUGCACAAUGGGCGGAAGCCUGAUGCAGCAACGCCGCGUGCGGGAUGACGGCCUUCGGGUUGUAAACCGCUUUCGCCUGUGACGAAGCGUGAGUGACGGUAAUGGGUAAAGAAGCACCGGCUAACUACGUG